AGAUUUCUGCCUUGUGCGUUAAGCACAGUCAUUAUAAAUCCAACACACAAUUAAAAGGGAACUGUGCUCCGAGAAACGGAUUGCAGACCUCCCGGCGCACGCCGACUUAGUGCCGUGUGCGUUCGGACGCUGGGAGCGAGAAGUCAUUGGGCUGGUACCCACCUGCGAAAGCGGGUUUUAUCAACUGUGCGACGGCAAGGCGGUAAUUAU
rnacentral:other from 1 species